rnacentral:rRNA from 1 species
AUUGAACGCUGGCGGAAUGCUUUACACAUGCAAGUCGAACGGCAGCACGGGGGCAACCCUGGUGGCGAGUGGCGAACGGGUGAGUAAUACAUCGGAACGUGCCCGGUCGUGGGGGAUAACGUAGCGAAAGUUACGCUAAUACCGCAUACGAUCUGAGGAUGAAAGCGGGGGACCUUCGGGCCUCGCGCGAUCGGAGCGGCCGAUGUCAGAUUAGGAAGUUGGUGGGGUAAAGGCCUACCAAGCCGACGAUCUGUAGCUGGUCUGAGAGGACGACCAGCCACACUGGGACUGAGACACGGCCCAGACUCCUACGGGAGGCAGCAGUGGGGAAUUUUGGACAAUGGGCGCAAGCCUGAUCCAGCCAUUCCGCGUGCAGGACGAAGGCCUUCGGGUUGUAAACUGCUUCUGUAUGGAACGAAAAGGCUCUGGCUAAUACCUGGGGCUCAUGACGGUACCGUAAGAAUAAGCACCGGCUAACUACGUG